AACGUAGGUGGCAAGCGUUAUCCGGAUUUACUGGGCGUAAAGGGUGUGCAGGCUGUUCACCAAGUGGUGUAUGAAAGCGCUCGGCUCAACCGGGCAAGGGUAUGCCAGACUGGUGGACUUGAGUCUGAAAGAGGGUGGUGGAAUUCCGGGUGUAGUGGUGAAAUGCGUAGAGAUGUGGAGGAACACCGAUGGCGAAGGCAGCCUCCUGGGCCAGCACUGACGCUCAUGCACGAAAGCGUGGGGAGCAAACAGG
rnacentral:rRNA from 1 species